rnacentral:rRNA from 1 species
GCCGGCGGGGUGCUAUAAUGCAAGUCGAGCGGACAGAUGGGAGCUUGCUCCCUGAUGUUAGCGGCGGACGGGUGAGUAACACGUGGGUAACCUGCCUGUAAGACUGGGAUAACUCCGGGAAACCGGGGCUAAUACCGGAUGGUUGUCUGAACCGCAUGGUUCAGACAUAAAAGGUGGCUUCGGCUACCACUUACAGAUGGACCCGCGGCGCAUUAGCUAGUUGGUGAGGUAACGGCUCACCAAGGCGACGAUGCGUAGCCGACCUGAGAGGGUGAUCGGCCACACUGGGACUGAGACACGGCCCAGACUCCUACGGGAGGCAGCAGUAGGGAAUCUUCCGCAAUGGACGAAAGUCUGACGGAGCAACGCCGCGUGAGUGAUGAAGGUUUUCGGAUCGUAAAGCUCUGUUGUUAGGGAAGAACAAGUGCCGUUCAAAUAGGGCGGCACCUUGACGGUACCUAACCAGAAAGCCACGGCUAACUACGUGCCAGCAGCCGCGGUAAUACGUAGGUGGCAAGCGUUGUCCGGAAUUAUUGGGCGUAAAGGGCUCGCAGGCGGUUUCUUAAGUCUGAUGUGAAAGCCCCCGGCUCAACCGGGGAGGGUCAUUGGAAACUGGGGAACUUGAGUGCAGAAGAGGAGAGUGGAAUUCCACGUGUAGCGGUGAAAUGCGUAGAGAUGUGGAGGAACACCAGUGGCGAAGGCGACUCUCUGGUCUGUAACUGACGCUGAGGAGAGAAAGCGUGGGGAGCGAACACGAUUAGAUAUCCUGUGCCUCCCCGCCCCAAACGAUGAGAGCGAAAGUGAGGGGGGGUCCCCCACUCUUAGCGUAACGUAUCACAUUUUACACUCGGCGCGUGGGAGUGCAGGACUGAAACUCGAAAGACUCAACGGAUUGACCGGGGGCGGCACAGCAGUGGAGCAUGUGAAUAAUUCGAAGCAACUUGAACAGCUUACAUGUCUUGACAUCUCUGACAAUCCUAUAUACAUGAGGACCCCUCUGCGGCAGAGGCCAGGUGGCGCAUGGC